rnacentral:rRNA from 1 species
GAUUAACGCUGGCGGUGUGUCUAAUACAUGCAAGUCGAGCGCAACUUCGGUUGAGCGGCGGACGAGCGAGUAACACGUUGGAACCUACCCCGAACUCAGGGAUAACAUCUAGAAAUAGGUGCUAAUACCGGAUAGUCCCGCAAGGGUAAAGAUUUUUCGGUUUGGGAGGGGCCUGCGGCCUAUCAGCUUGUUGGUAAGGUAAUGGCUUACCAAGGCUAUGACGGGUAACUGGUCUGAGAGGAUGAUCAGUCGCGAUGGGACUGAGACACGGCCCAU